UACGUAGGGUGCAAGCGUUAAUCGGAAUUACUGGGCGUAAAGCGUGCGCAGGCGGUUAUGUAAGACAGUUGUGAAAUCCCCGGGCUCAACCUGGGAACUGCAUCUGUGACUGCAUAGCUAGAGUACGGUAGAGGGGGAUGGAAUUCCGCGUGUAGCAGUGAAAUGCGUAGAUAUGCGGAGGAACACCGAUGGCGAAGGCAAUCCCCUGGACCUGUACUGACGC
rnacentral:rRNA from 1 species